AUCUGCAUUGAGAAAGAGAAGAAGGAAUUAAUAAAGGGUUGUUCAAGUGUCAUGAUGAAAGAUUGAUAAGUAAUGUUGGUCACACAUGUACUGAUCACAUUUUUAUGUGUUUUCUGGCUGUAUGAUCUUGACUGAUAUCUAUGAACUACAUAUAUUAGUUGGGUUGUCAAUCAGACAGGAUAAAAAACUUCCCCUUAUGAUAUACCGUGUCGGUCAGUGCAUGAUGCAUUGGCAGAUAGGGAAGUGAAGAGGAGAUGAAAUUUCUUUUUACUUCCUACUGCUUCAUAUGUUUUCACUGUCAGUCUGAACAGGUGGAAGAAUAGAAAGAUGGUCAAUACAAUCUAUUCAGUCAAUGGACCCCCCUUCCCGUUUACUAUAUGAGAUGAGUCUGUGUAUGGCUGCUUUAAUAUGCUGUGGAGUUUAUUUUAUUGCCCAGUAAACAUUUACAUGUGUUCUGCUAAUAUUAACCUCCUAUGGAUACAAAUUCACCAAUAGCAGUCUCUUUUCAUAAUAAUGAUCACAAAUUUUAUCAGAACUAAUUACAUAGGUUCAAUAGGUUUACAUUGGCUGAGGUUGAAGACUAGCUUUAGAUUACAUGGAGGAACUUUGCUUUUAAUUUUAGACUCUAAAAUAUAAUUCUUUCUGAAGGUCUUUGACAAUGGUCUUCUCAGUAACUACAUUGAAAGAUCUUCCAGAUGUAAAGCACUGAUUAAGAAAACUUCCCAGGCACGAACAUCUAUAGAUGUGAUUCUACCCAGUAGAAGGUUCCUAUUGCUAAGAGAAGUGAAGGACUCUUGUUGCCCCCCUGGUUUGAUGAGUCAUACUGUAUGUGCUUCCCAACCUGUUUUGCUUGCAUUUGUGGAAAGAUGAAUCUAGUUCAAUGACUUUCCCUUCAAGAGAUUCUCUAGAUGUCUAACUAGUCUCUCAAAUGAAGUAUAUAUUAAUCAUGUAUAUUAUCCGAGAUGUUUUGCUUUGCUUCUUUUUUUUAGUAGUUUCAAGAACUGCUACUGAAGGAGCCCGAGAUGGUACUUAAUUCAUAGUUUACUUCAUAGCUACUAAUGUGCCUUUUAUUUGUUGGCAUACUAAAGCUUAUGUUGACAAACA